GACGGAGGAUGCAAGCGUUAUCCGGAAUGAUUGGGCGUAAAGCGUCCGCAGGUGGCAGUUCAAGUCUGCUGUCAAAGACCGGGGCUUAACUUCGGAAAGGCAGUGGAAACUGAACAGCUAGAGUAUGGUAGGGGCAGAGGGAAUUCCUGGUGUAGCGGUGAAAUGCGUAGAGAUCAGGAGGAACAUCGGUGGCGAAGGCGCUCUGCUGGACCAUAACUGACACUCAGGGACGAAAGCUAGGGGAGCGAAAGGG
rnacentral:rRNA from 1 species